rnacentral:rRNA from 1 species
AGAGUUUGAUCCUGGCUCAGAACGAACGCUGGCGGCAUGCCUAACACAUGCAAGUCGAACGAGACCUUCGGGUCUAGUGGCGCACGGGUGCGUAACGCGUGGGAAUCUGCCCUUGGGUUCGGAAUAACAGUUAGGAAUGACUGCUAAUACCGGAUAAUGUCUUCGGACCAAAGAUUUAUCGCCCAGGGAUGAGCCCGCGUAGGAUUAGCUAGUUGGUGAGGUAAAGGCUCACCAAGGCGACGAUCCUUAGCUGGUCUGAGAGGAUGAUCAGCCACACUGGGACUGAGACACGGCCCAGACUCCUACGGGAGGCAGCAGUGGGGAAUAUUGGACAAUGGGCGAAAGCCUGAUCCAGCAAUGCCGCGUGAGUGAUGAAGGCCUUAGGGUUGUAAAGCUCUUUUACCCGGGAUGAUAAUGACAGUACCGGGAGAAUAAGCCCCGGCUAACUCCGUG